rnacentral:lncRNA from 1 species
UGUGCAUUUUCUAAAUAUAGCUAAAGAACUCUUGAUUACCAGUGGUUGACUCCAUUACAAAGCGUACUAAUUGCUUUAAAUGUUUAAUAUUUUUUUUGACUCUACUAACAUUCAGGAAACAUGACUUUAUUCUGUUGCUAAUAUCUUCAAUAUCCAGAGUACAGGCAACAGAAGAAUUAACCCCUCUAAGUAAGUUACAAAGCAGAUAAUCAGCAUGAAUAGUAGAUAUUUAAAAAUUGUAUUAGUUUCUACCCCUUAAAUUUCCACUGUUCAAUCUCCUGUACUUUUGUGAUAUAAGAUACAUUUAUGAGCAUAGUGUGGGGUGCGGUGCACUGUACCCAGAGGACAUUCUGCAGACAAAAAAAAUCAUACGAACUUGCAAAAUAUUCAGCAUGUUUUCUCCACUUCUGCUGCUUAAAGGAGGGGUGAAGCAAGGCCUAAGUGUAGAAGGUGGUUCUUUGGUGGAGAGGAGCUUUCAAUUCACACCAAAGCCAAGGCUCCAAGCAGGAGUCAUGGGGAAUAUGAAAUCGUGGGAGGUUACCCUGCUUUUCUGUGAACUGUCCUCUCUCCUUUGCAGCCAGGCAUUCUCCACCCAGCAGUUUAAGACAGCCAUCAGGUCUCCUCAGAAGAAGCCAGAAGUCCAUUCUAAUUCUUUAUUUUGGACAGGAGUCUGAAAUAAUUUCAAGUAGUCGCUCUUGAAUUUGGUUAUAGCACUUAUUACUUACACACAUAAUAAGGAGCAAAAUAUGUACCAUUGGUGCAUUAUAAAAUUUAGUUUUAUUAUAAAUUCUAAGACACUGUUUUAAAAUUGUGUAAGAAUAUUCUAGUAUUCAACAUACACAUUGGGAGAAAGAGUUGGAGUAAAGUAUAAAAGUCACAUUGGAUUUUUAAAAAUAUUUAUGGUAUUAUAAACUGUUUCACUUAUUCUGAUGCCAUAAGAUGAAAAUAGCUACAACUGCACUAAGGUGUCUCUAAAUGUCUUUACUUUAUAGACAUUUUGAUGUAGUAGAUGUCAGUAGAAACCACCUUACUCCAUCUGUCCAUGACGCCAUAUGCUUUGUGACAGAAUGUGACAUGCACUGGGCUGCGCUAAGAGAGUAUUGUUUUCCACUAAAUUUCAAAUGAACAUGCUUAAGGAUCUUCCAGUAUUAGAAAGGUUUGAGUAAGAAACAGACAUUAACUGUCUAGCCAAAUCAGGAUAGAAUACAAAGCCUAUUACAGAUGUGACUGAAAAUCACAAACCUUCAAAUUGUCUCAAAAAGGGAAAAGCUCAAAAUGGGCUUGUGCUUUGCCUCAACCCCUCAUCUUUCAGCACUUGUAACCCCUCCUUUGACAAUGCCGAGGUGGCAUUGUCCCGAGUAGCACCGCUGUCUGGGCAUUUCUGCGUUCUUGCUUUCUUAACCUUAAUUUGAUAUGUUAAUGAUCUUUGGUUGCCAGUUAUAUUGAAAUGAAAUCAAUAAAGCCAGAGCCACGUGCCCACGAUGCACACAGGCAGAUACAGGUGAUCGUGGACUGUAGGCAGCUCUCCUCACGGCCCAAAAAUAUCUCCCUCCCUGGCCUCUUGGAGAUGUAUGCAAGUUCACCACUCAAGGGCACUUCCCCUGAGGUUACUGUUACUAAUUAUUCAAUCACGUGUUGAUUAAACCUUGGGUCACAGACCUUUGUUUUUUGAUUAGAACAUUAAUUCAUAUAUUAACAUUAGUUAGGUCACUAAACACGUACUUUUGUUUCUUUUUAACCAGUGAGUUUUACAUGUAUUUAUUUAUAUAUUUAUAUCCCACUUUAAUGCUGCAGUAUUUUAAGCUGUUUUACAAAGAACUGUAAAAUACAGUAAUUUAGCCUAUAAUAGGAAAGAUGAGAAUGAAAAGCAGAUAGGAAGCUGCCAUGGAGCCAAUAUGAAGGUUAAUAAAAUGAAGUAUCCUAAGGACUUCUGAGACAGAGACGUUGUAUAUCCCUAGCUUGUUCACUCCUUUAUCCCAGUGCAGCGCUUGGAACAGUGUCUGGCACAGAGCUAGUGUCCUGUGCUGUGUGUUGAAUGAAUGUAAAAUACCCCGGGACUGGUUACCUGCAUAUUUUCUUUCUCUAGACACUGUUUUCGUGACUGUGCUUCUCACUCUCCAGGCCUUCCUCUCCUCUUCUGUGAUGACCAGGUACUGAAUGAUUCGUGUGUGCCCCCUGCCCUUUCUUUAAAUUUAAAUUUUAUUGGAGUAUAGUUGACUUACAAUGCUGUGUUGGUUUCAGGUGUGCAGCAAAGUGAAUCAGUUUUACAUAUACAUAUAUCCGUUCCUUUCCAAAUUCUUCCCCCAUAUGGGUUAUUACUCAGUAUUGAGUAGAGUUUCCUGUGCUAUAGAGUAGGUGCUUGUUACUUAUCUAUUUUAUAUGUAAUACUGUAUGUGUUUUCAUCCCAAUCUCCUAAUUUAUCCCUCCCCCCAUUGUUUCCCCUUUGCUCACCAGAAGUUUGGUUUCAAAAUCUUUAAGUCUGUUUCUGUUUUGUGAAUAAGUUCUUGGUAUCAUUUUUUAUUAGAUUCCAUGUAAUCUACAUAUGAUACUUGCCUUUUUCUGACUUAACCUCACUCACACGAUAAUUUCUAGGUCCCUAGGUCCCUCCAGGCCCUUUUUAAUUGGGAGGUUUAGGAAAGUUUGUUUCAUAAUUACUAAAAAUAACUAUGUUUUGAGAUGUUCACAGAAUACUUCAAAGGACAAACAUUGAUUAGAAAUUAGCCAAAGAAACCAAGUCUUCUGGUAGCAAAUUAGGACAAUUAGCACCAGCAAGUUAAUUUGAGUGCACAGCCCAGAGUUAUAUGCAAUCGUUUCUGCAUUAAUUAAUAGGUUGAACUUUUACCUUGAAAAUGUUUGGGUUAUAUGCAAUGCUUUCCCAAUGACUAUUGAUUUCUUAAAUUUCAAAACGACAAGUUUAUUUUUCUUUCUAAAUGACUAAAAAUGUAUGUCCAGUCUGAACAU